GUGUCAGCCGCCGCGGUAAUACAGAGACUGCGAGCGUUAUUCGGAUUCACUGGGCGUAAAGGGUGCGCAGGCGGCCAAGUGUGUGAGGCGUGAAAGCCCGGGGCUUAACCCCGGAAUUGCACCUCAAACUACAUGGCUAGAGCAUUGGAGAGGGAAGCGGAAUUCACGGUGUAGCAGUGAAAUGCGUAGAUAUCGUGAGGAACACCAGAGGCGAAGGCGGCUUCCUGGACAAUUGCUGACGCUCAGGCACGAAAGCGUGGGGAGCAAAAGGGAUUAGAAACCCCUGUAGUCC
rnacentral:rRNA from 1 species